rnacentral:rRNA from 1 species
AUGAUGAAUGGCAGAAAAAUCAUACCACCACCACUUCAGAAAAAGAAAGGAAGAAGGGCAAGGAAUAGGAGACAACAACCAGAAGAGAAGCAGGGAAAGAGAGGUGUGAAGAUCAAUAAGGCAGGCGCAGUCAUCCAUUGUGGAUAUUGUGGAGGUGCUGGUCAUAACAUAAAUGGUUGCUUGGACUGGAAGUUAGGGUUGAAGCCUAAGAAAAAAACAAGAAGCCAUAGAGUUAGAGCUGAGCCAGAUGUGUCAUCUUCAGAUGAAGAAACAAUAGGCCUUACUCAGGAAUUUAAUCAACAGACAGCUGGUGUUCUUAACCAUGACCAACCUUUGUAUCAUUCAGAGAUGCUAGCUACUUUAACACAGGAAAGAGAAUCAAGGCAGAGAGAGGAAGUUGUGCAUGGCCCACUACCUGAGAAUGCUUUCAUACAGCAGCAAGCCCUCUCACAGCCUCCAAUUCAACCUACAACAGCAACAAAAACUGGUGAUGUGCACAGGAAGAGAGAGGUUGUUGCAUUUGCCAGGCUUAGAGCAGCAGCUGAGAGAAGAGAGAUAGCCGAUCAGGCCAAGUUUGAUGCAGCCAUUGCAAAAUUAAAAGAAGAAGAGGACAAAAUCAAGUUGUCUGCUCAAAAGAAGAAAGAUGACCAACUAGCAAAGAAACAUGCUGCAGAGGACAAAAGAAGGCUGCACUUGAAGAAAAAAGAAUUGCUGCAGAUGAGAGGAAGAAAGCUAGUGAGGAAAAGAAAAAAAAGGCCCUAG